GGUUAAGUUAGAAAGGGCGCACGGUGGAUGCCUUGGCACUAGGAGCCGAAGAAGGACGGGACUAACACCGAUAUGCUUUGGGGAGCUGUACGUAAGCGUUGAUCCAGAGAUUUCCGAAUGGGGGAACCCACUAUCUUUAGUCGGAUAGUAUCCUUACGUGAAUACAUAGCGUGAGGAAGGCAGACCCAGGGAACUGAAACAUCUAAGUACCUGGAGGAAGAGAAAGAAAAAUCGAUUUCCUGAGUAGCGGCGAGCGAAACGGAAAGAGCCCAAACCAAGAAGCUUGCUUCUUGGGGUUGUAGGACACUCUAUACGGAGUUACAAAAGAAAGUUAUAAAUGAAGCGGUCUGGAAAGGCCCGCCAAAGACGGUAACAGCCCGGUAGUUGAAAUGGCUUUCCCUCCAGAGUGGAUCCUGAGUACGGCGGAACACGUGAAAUUCCGUCGGAAUCCGGGAGGACCAUCUCCCAAGGCUAAAUACUCCCUAGUGACCGAUAGUGAACCAGUACCGUGAGGGAAAGGUGAAAAGCACCCCGGAAGGGGAGUGAAACAGUUCCUGAAACCGUGUGCCUACAAGUAGUUAGAGCCCGUUAAUGGGUGAUAGCGUGCCUUUUGUAGAAUGAACCGGCGAGUUACGAUUUGUUGCAAGGUUAAGCGGAAAAAGCGGAGCCGUAGCGAAAGCGAGUCUGAAUAGGGCGCAUAAGUAACAGGUCGUAGACCCGAAACCAGGUGAUCUACCCAUGUCCAGGAUGAAGGUAAGGUAAUACUUACUGGAGGUCCGAACCCACGCACGUUGAAAAGUGCGGGGAUGAGGUGUGGGUAGCGGAGAAAUUCCAAUCGAACUUGGAGAUAGCUGGUUCUCUCCGAAAUAGCUUUAGGGCUAGCCUCGAGGUAAAGAGUCAUGGAGGUAGAGCACUGUUUGGACUAGGGGCCCUUCUCGGGUUACCGAAUUCAGAUAAACUCCGAAUGCCAUGUACUUAUACUCGGGAGUCAGACUGCGAGUGAUAAGAUCCGUAGUCGAAAGGGAAACAGCCCAGACCACCAGUUAAGGUCCCCAAAUAUAUGUUAAGUGGAAAAGGAUGUGGGGUUGCUUAGACAACCAGGAUGUUGGCUUAGAAGCAGCCACCAUUGAAAGAGUGCGUAAUAGCUCACUGGUCGAGUGACCCCGCGCCGAAAAUGUACCGGGGCUAAACAUAUUACCGAAACUGUGGAUGAACCUCUUUAGAGGUUCGUGGUAGGAGAGCGUUCUAAGGGCGGUGAAGUCAGACCGGAAGGACUGGUGGAGCGCUUAGAAGUGAGAAUGCCGGUAUGAGUAGCGAAAGAAGGGUGAGAAUCCCUUCCACCGAAUAUCUAAGGUUUCCUGAGGAAGGCUCGUCCGCUCAGGGUUAGUCGGGACCUAAGCCGAGGCCGAUAGGCGUAGGCGAUGGACAACAGGUAGAGAUUCCUGUACCAGUGCUAAUUGUUUAACCGAUGGGGUGACACAGAAGGAUAGGGAAUCGCACGAAUGGAAAUGUGCGUCCAAGCAGUGAGUGUGAGAAGUAGGCAAAUCCGCUUCUCGCGAAGCAUGAGCUGUGAUGGGGAAGGAAAUUAAGUACGGAAGUUCCUGAUUUCACGCUGUCAAGAAAAGCCUCUAGGAAGAGUAGUACUGCCCGUACCGCAAACCGACACAGGUAGAUGAGGAGAGAAUCCUAAGGUGAGCGAGAGAACUCUCGUUAAGGAACUCGGCAAAAUGACCCCGUAACUUCGGGAGAAGGGGUGCUCUAUUAGGGUGCAAGCCCGAGAGAGCCGCAGUGAAUAGGCCCAGGCGACUGUUUAGCAAAAACACAGGUCUCUGCAAAACCGUAAGGUGACGUAUAGGGGCUGACGCCUGCCCGGUGCUGGAAGGUU
rnacentral:rRNA from 1 species